UGACUCUUACACUGUGAAGGAAGCGAGGAGAGCUGAAGAAUAUAUUUUCAAAUGGAAGAACAUCUUUCCUAUCCUUGUUUUCCAGUGAUGAUCCAGUCUGCUAUGAGGUUGAAAAUUCAAUUUUCCUGGAAAGUGCCUCAUUUCAGGUCCCAGGGAUGGAACAGGGACGUGAUCUGGUCUUCUGUGAGGCAUGCAAGGAGGCUGAAUUAAGAGAACAGGAUCCAAACAUCUGCACAACGAUCUGUAUCAUCUCCUCCUCCUCCGGGAUGUGUCUGGAAUAUUGUCUGCUCUGUGUGACAGGUAGAAAGGAGCUAACAACUGCCUAACCUGUUCUGUGUGGGUGAAAAGAGCUCAGAAUUCGACCCCUGGGUUGUUCACACUGAAGUGGAAAGCCUGUUCCUGCUGCUGCUGAGGCAACCCUCCCCUGGCUGAAGCCAAAGCUCCACGGUCCCUGUGAAAUCCCACCUGCAAUUCUGCAGCUGCCCGUAAAGAAGUGAGUCUGCUCCUCACAAAAUGUAUUUGAGCUGCUCUCCUCAGGGAUUCCAGGCUUCUGCAGUCCCCGUGUCUGGGUUGUAUCUGUGUAUCCAUCUGUCAAACGGGAUCAAUGAGCCAAACUCUCCCUAAAUAUUAACUUCCUACAUGUUUCAUAAAAUAGUCAGAGGCAGAAAUUUGG